AAGGAGAAGGACAGGGAGAAAGCAUGAUAUGAGAUACUUUUGCUUUCAACCUUCAUGAUAUGAAAUACUUUUUCUUUUGAUGAGUUGUUUGUAGAGGUACCCAAAGGAAUAAGGAACACUGAGUGACUCGAGAGGCUUUGUUAGGAAGGCAUUCUUGGAGAUGAAGAAAGGUUAUGUAUGUCUGCCUUGCUAUGGAGGGUGAAGGUUGACAUUUAUAUGAAUUAAUAACCGGUACUAUUCUUUCACUCUUGUCGGCAACCGUUGGAUGAUUGAACAGUAAACUUCAUGUGUUUUCUACUUUACCAGAAAUCUUCGACAGAUUGCCCGUAAUUUUCGCAAGGCUGAGUGUGCAUGUGACAGGUGCUGACACAUCUGAAAAAGCAAGUGCCUCUUCAAUAUC
rnacentral:lncRNA from 1 species